UGUUUAGUACGCACCCCAUCACAUCUCCUUCUUCUUCAGGGGGAGGGCCUAAUACAGGGAAGACAGUGGCUAUCAUUGUGGGAGGGGCAGCAGGAGUGGGGUUUUUGGUCAUUUGCUUGCUCUUUGCAAGGGGUUUAUUGAAGAAAAAAGAUGAUUACUAAGAACUCUGUAUACACCACAAUUGUUUGAGGGCAGAGCUGUUUUUGUCUUUGAAAAUACACAAACUAGAAAACCACUGGUGGUGUUUUUCAUUCUUUUAAGGAAUGUGAAUUCCCAGGUUGUUAAGUUUGAAAUCAAACUUAAUUGUAGAUUUGAGUAGUGGAAGUCGGUUUUUACUUUUUAGCUUGUGUAGAUUUGUUGAUUUAAUUUAGGGAUAUUCAAACAUUUGAUGUCAGGUAGGAAAUGUUGGUGAAGAACUUGUGUUUGGUCCAAUGGAGGGAAUCAACUUGUUAGUGAGUAGUACCAACAGAUUUUGUCCUUUUAUUACAUUCUCCAUGUGAUUUUCUUU